UACGGGGGGGGGCAAGCGUUGUUCGGAAUUACUGGGCGUAAAGGGCUCGUAGGUGGCCAACUAAGUCAGACGUGAAAUCCCUCGGCUCAACCGGGGAACUGCGUCUGAUACUGGGUGGCUUGAAUCCGGGAGAGGGAUGCGGAAUUCCUGGUGUAGCGGUGAAAUGCGCAGAUAUCGGGAAGAACACCCGUGGCGAAGGCGGCUCUCUGGAACGCAACUGACGCUGAGACGCGAAAGCGUGGGGAGCAAACAGG
rnacentral:rRNA from 1 species